GUUGAAAUAUUGGUUCCCGUACGAUCACCGAAGUUAAGCAUCGUCGAUACUGGUUAGUACCUAGAUGGGUAAUCGCUUGGGGAAUACCAGAUGCUGUAA